GGGCUCCCAAGCUCCGCGCAGACCCUUGGGCCAGCCUUGGCCGCUACCCGAGCGCCUCUCCACCAGACCUUGGAGGGAAGUUGGGGGAAGGGCGGGAGAGCACCGGCGCCCAGGGCGCAGGGGCCAGAGCGAGCCUGGCGUUCCGCCGCAGCCGGCUGAGACUCGGCGACGCGGGGGCUGUACCUGUGGCUGCGGGGCCGACGGCCGGCUGCAGGGCGGCUGGCUCUCCCGCCUCGAGACUAGGCGCACUCCCAUCCCCGCCGCAUGUUCUCCACGCGGGCUCCAGCGCGCUCACCACCGCCACCGCCGUCGUCUCGGCUUUAUUUACCCAGCCCGGCGCGCGCCGCCCGGGAACAGGAAUAGCGAGGCCUUCUCAUGUUUCCUGACUGCCGGUCCCAGCCGGCGAACAUCCUGCGGGCGCGGUAUCCACGUUCCCGGGCGGGUGGAGAGGAAGCGUCCGCGCCCGCCCGGCCGCGGGGGCUGCUGUUAACCCCUAGCAGAGGAGCCGCUGCCGGGGAGCCCCGGGCCCGCCGAGUCCUCCGGAGCCGGGCGCGGCUCCCAGAUCCGCCGGCCUUGCAGUCGUGGAGCAGACGGGGCUUUUCCCUUCGCACUUUAGGAGAGAAAUUGGAGAAGCUGCCGGGAGCGCUCGGCUCCGGCUCCAGAAGCUGAGAGGCUGCGGUGCAAAUCCCGUGUCUUAGCUGGCCCGAUUGCCGGAAAUUUCACUGCGCGUGGCUAGGCGGGAGAGGCCACUGUGACGCGCCCUGUAUUUUCCUCUCGAUUAGCUGGAGGGAAGUUAGAGCUCCGUUUUGCACCUACAGCCCUGGAGCGUAUUGCGGGAAGUGCUAGUGCCCAGGAGCCUCUUUUCUGAUGUCACUGGGCUUCUGGGGUCCUAGUUGUCUCAGUCAAAGCCAGGCACACAUUCACCUCCGGGGCAAGGGCUGGUGAGGCUGCCCUCGCCGCUGGGUAUAGGGAUGGGGGAAAGCAAGGAUGGGAUGAGUUCAGCCCAGGUGGCCAACCCGCGGUGGCCCAAGUGCAGAAGAGGAAGCGCGCCCAAAGCCAAGGAUCUGCACGCAGCAAAGGAGAUGGAACUUAGAAGAAUCACAAGCUGGGACACAGGGCAAAGAGAGAGAAUGGCUACCAGAUUCUCUGAUUGAUGAUACUUUGCUUCCUAACAUUACCGCAAAUAUAAGUAGCGAAAGCGGCGGUUUAGGUGCAACUGCAAGCUCAGAGCUUCUGGCAGCCCAGAAGAUCCCCAAGGUGCCAACACGAAGCUGCCUGCGCUCUCGCCGAAGGCCCUGUGGUCCUAGCGAACUUUCGCCCUUUUUAAAGAACAAACUUAGAUUUCCCCCCACCAAGCUUAAAGAAAUAGCGCCAUUUGUCCUUUUCCCCUCUAAAUGCGGCUGGCCAGAGCCGGGGCAGUGGCCCACCUUAGCAUCUUCUUCGUGUGUGUGUGUGUGUGUGCGCGUGUGUGUGUGUGUGUUUGUGUGUUGGGGGGGUCGCUAGAAGUGCUUAAAAUAUAUACCAAAACUAUUAUUUUAAAGACUAAUCACACCCUCAAAUUUCAUAUGUGUCACCUCCCAAAUUACGCGAUAGCAAACCGUUGUGCAGGGGUACAAUGUAAACCAUAAAGGAAGGCCGGUUUACAUUUUUGCGCACCAGGAAGAUACAAAGUAUCAUUGGAGCACGUUCUGAUGUCCUCGGUUCUCUUUUGUUAUAUAACUUGCUGUUGCAGCGCUUGCAUCUUGUCUUUGGCGCUGCCCUUGUGGUGUGAGUUCAGUACAGGCUUCUGGUCUACAGACCUCGCUGUAGGAGCUUAAAGACAGGGGUAAAUCCUAAGGUUUCAGCCAUCAAUUUUCAGCUAACAAAUUUCACCACAGAAGCAGAUCUAAUUGAUAAUUCAUAGGACAAAAGAGCCACCUUCUCUUUUAUGGUCUCUAUCAGUGGUGUUAGUCACCGGGAAUUGUAAUGAAAUUAGCUCUAACAUACCCCUGAAACAUUUUUUGGUCAGCUGUCCCAGGUAAAGCAAUAGGCAUCAUACAGUUACUUGCAAUUUCCCAGUAUUCUACUAACUUUUUGAGCUAUAUGCUAUAGUACAUGUUAGUAUAGGACAAAUGAAUUUUGUUGUUUUAGUACUUAACUAUAUUUACUCAAUUUAAAAAUGCAUUUAGAGCGCUUUUAAGAUAUACUUACAUGUAAUAUUUGUUUUCUUAAAGUCUGAAAUGAAAUAUACAGCAAAAAUCUUAAUGCAAAAAUACUUUUCAUUUGAUAUAGGAAUAAAAUACAUUUGAGUAAGCCUCAACUCACUAAAAAAUUAACAUAUGGUAAUUCCCUUAGACUAUGAUUUAAUAAUUAAAAUCCAUUUAAAAAUGAAAGAAGAGUGAAGGAUCCAUUCUAGAAGUGAAAUGGUGUGAAAUAUCCCUCUGUAAUAUACCAAUGGGCAUUUAUUUUAUUUUUGCAAGUUUUAUCCUCUAUGCAAAAGGGAAGUGUUGUCUUCAUUUUAAUCCACACUUCAAAUACAUUCAUUAUUAAAUUACACCUAUUUCUAAAAUAAAUGUUACUCAGCCUCUUGUGCUAUAUCCAAUGUCAGUAUAUGAAAUGCUAUAUAUAAUCCUCAGAAGUAAAGCUUCCAGUUUCAGAAAGUUUUAGAAGAUUUAAGAAAGCAUAUGUAGUUUGUGGAAGAUGGCCUUAUGCAGGGGGAAAAAAAACCCAAAACACCCAACAACUUAGACCAGAAGUCAGAAGACUUGAGCCCUAAUCUUAAUUCUGGUUAAUUUGAUGAUGGUUUAGCCUGAAUUUAGUAAAGUGUAAAAUGACGGUAAUAAGUUUUCCACAAACUGCCUUACACUAUUAUGAAGGGUUUCUUUUUUUUAAUGUGAAAGUAAGAUACUGCUUUGCUAAAGCUAGAAAGAUGUUAAGUAAGAACAUUUGAAAGAAAUAUUAAUUCAUUGUAUUGGACUCUGCAGUUAUAAAUAUAUGUAAUUAUUACUUUCUGGUAAAGAAAAAAAUAAGUCUUCAGUUUUAGCAUUUUGAUAUUUUACCAAAUUACCCUGACAUUUCAGAAUAAAUAUUAGUCAAAAUGUUUGAAAAUAAUGAGUGUUUUAAAACUCCUUUUUCCAGUUAUUACUUAUGAGCAAUAAAGCAAACUACAAAGCCAGAGAAUGACUACAACUUCCUGCUCAAAUGGUAUAAAACAGUAAGUUAAUGAACAAAUAGCAGGUUCAGCUCACACGUGGACAGUUUGAUGGCAGAGAUACAUACUGGAGUGUGUAAGGGGAACAACAGAACAAGUGGUGAGACAUACCGCUGCAGAAACACUGUGAGCUAAGCAGUAGAAUGAGUGGCCACGAAGGAUCUCACAAGGUGUUUCUGCUUUGUUUAUAAGUUAAUUUUAGUUCCAUAAAUAACACAGAAUGAAUAACGCCUUCUUACAGGGAGGGUCUUUUGCAUAAAUCCACUCUCAAACAAAGAAGAAUACAAGCGAAAGUCCCUCUCAGCCACUUCCACCCAAUCACAUUCUGCAGAGGAACCACCCAAAGCUGGCAAUUGCAGGUUGGAUAUGCAUCUGCUCAAGUUUUUUCUAUGCAUUUACAUACAUGAAUAAAAUUAAUAAAUUAUAGUUUUGCUUUAUGAAUUUUUAAAAUAAAUGAGGCUGUAUAUAAAUGUACAUAUACAUACUGAGUAUUAAACUAAUUCUUGCUUUUUCAUUCAGUGAUGUCCUAAAGAACUUUUGUAUUAGUAGGCAUACAUGUAACUCCUUCUUUUAAACUGUUACAUAAGACUCCAUAAUCUCCUUAAACAUUCUCCUAUGAAUAUGUCUGUCUUUCCAAUUUUCACUAUAUAAACAUCAAACAUCUUUGCAUAUGAUUAUUUCUGUAUAUGCAUAACGUGUUUCUCUAGGAAUAGUUACCCAGACGUAGAAUUUCUAGGUUGAAGGAAACACGGUUUUUAAAUUUUGAUAGAUACUUCCAAAUUUUUCUCCAACCUACACCACUGCUGACACAUGCAUGCUCCAAUUUCCUCACAUGCUACAUAGCAUUGCAUGUGUUCAGUCUUCAUAAUGUUUGCCUAAAUGAUGAGUAAAAUAAUGCCUCAUUGUUUGAAAACAUUUUCCUUUAUAAGCCAUUUGCAUUUCUUAAUUGAAUUGCCUUUGCUUAUAUCCUUAUGAGAUGCCUUAUUGAUUUAUAAUGUUUAUUUAUAAAUCAUUUUUUCAUGAUAUAUAUUUUUACAUGUUGCAAAUAUGUUACCUGGUCUGUGACUUGACUUUUAUCUAUUUUGUCUUUGUCUUACAGAAUGAUUAAAUGUAAAUAGAUCAG
rnacentral:lncRNA from 1 species